rnacentral:rRNA from 1 species
GUGAGGAAUUUUCCGCAAUGGGCGAAAGCCUGACGGAGCAAUGCCGCGUGAAGGAUGAAGGCCUAUGGGUUGUAAACUUCUUUUCUCAGAAAAGAAUUAUGACGGUAUCUGAGGAAUAAGCAUCGGCUAACUCUGUGCCAGCAGCCGCGGUAAGACAGAGGAUGCAAGCGUUAUCCGGAAUGAUUGGGCGUAAAGCGUCUGUAGGUUGUUUAAAAAGUAUUCUGUCAAAGAUUAGGGCUUAACCCUAGAUAGGCAGAAUAAACUUUUAAGCUAGAGUUUGGUAGAGGCAGAGGGAAUUCCCGGUGGAGCGGUGAAAUGCGUAGAUAUCGGGAGGAACACCAAAGGCGAAGGCACUCUGCUGGGCCAAUACUAACACUGAGAGACGAAAGCGAGGGGAGCAAAUGGGAUUAGAUACCCGAGUAGUC